UUAUUUUUAUACGACCGCAAAAAUUGAAAAUUUUUUGGUCGUAUAUUGGUAUGACGUUGGCGUCGUCGUCGUCGUUGUCGUCGUCGGCGUCGUCUGGCGUCGUCCGAAGACACAUUGGUUUUCGCACUCUAACUUUAGUUUAAGUGAAUGGAUCUCCAUGAAAUUUUACCAUAAGGUUCAAUACCAUAAAAGGAAGGUUGGGAUUGAUUUUGGGGGUUAUGGUACCAACAGUUAAGGAAUUAGGGGCCAAAAAGGGGCCAACAAUAAGCAUUUUUGUAACUUCCAGACAAUAACUUGUGUGUAAGUGUAUGGAUCUCUCUGACAUUGUACCACAAGGUUCCAUAUCACAAAGGGAAGGCUGUAAUUGAUUUUGGGGGUAAUUGCCUCAAAAUUUUAGGAAUUAGGGGCCAAAAAAGGGGCAAAAAACAAGCAUUUUUCUAGUUUCAUGACAAUAACUUGUGUGUAAGUGUUUGGAUAUUUCUGAAAUUGUACUACAAGGUUCCAUAUCACAAAGGGAAAGCUGGAAUUGAGUUUGGGGGUAAUUGCCCAAAACGUUUAGGAAUUGGGGGCCAAAAAGGGGCCAAAAAUAAGCAUUUUUCUAGUUUCCAGACAAUAACUUGUGUUCAAGUGUAUGGAUCUCUCUGAAAUUGUACUGCAAGGUACCAUACCACAAAGGGAAGGCUGGGAUUGAGUUUGGGGGUGAUGAAUCAUAAGGGGGUUCAAAAAAUUUGGGGGGGGGGAUUUUUUUUUUCUUUUUUUUUUUUUUUUUUUUCCUUUUUUUUUUCUUUUAAAAUUUUCAUUUUAAGUUGGUUAUUUCUGAUUAAUAUUUAAAAGCAAAUAAUAAUGAUAUGGUAGGAGAUACACACCAAACAGGAUGUGUAAAUUAUUAUAUAAUAAGUAUUGUGCAAUAGCAAGAAAUUUUCAAUUGCACAGUAUUGCACAAUUGCAAGAAAUCUUCAAUUGCACAGUAUUGCGCAAUAGCAAGAAAUCUUCAAUUGCACAGUAUUGCGCAAUAGCAAGAAAUAUCCAAUAGCACAAUAUUGCGCAAUAGCAAGAAAUUGUCAAUUGUACAGUAUUGCACAAUAGCAAGAAAUAUUCAAUUGCACAGUAUUGUGCAAAAGAAGAUACUUCGUAUAAAUUGCUUAUUUCUUGAUCAAUUUCAAUGGGGUUUUAUUCUUGAAUUCUUGGGGUUCUUUAAUAUGCUGAAUCUAACCGUGUAUUAAGUUUUUGGAUUUUGGGCCCCGUUUUUAAAUUGGUCCACAUUGAGGUCCAAAGGGUCCAAAAUUUAACUUUGUUUGAUUUCAUCAAAAAUUGAAUUAUUGGGGUUCUUUGAUAUGCCGAAUCUAACCGUGUAUUUAGAUUCUUAAUUUUUGGUUCCGUUUUCAAAUUGGUCUACAUUAAGGUCAAAAGGGUCCAAAAUUAGACUUAGUUUGAUUUUAACAAAAAUUGAAUUUUUAGGGUACUUUGAUAUGCUGAAUCUAAACAUGUAUUUCGAUUUUUGAUUAUGGGCCCAGUUUUCAAGUUGGUCCAAAUCGGGGUCCAAAAUUAAACUUUGUUUGAUUUCAACAAAAAUUGAAUAUAUGGGGUUCUUUGAUAUGCUGAAUCUAACCAUGUAUUUAGAUUUUUGAUUUUUGGGACCCGUUAUCAACUUUGUCCACAUUGAGGUCAAAAGGGUCCAAAAUUAAACUUUGUUUGAUUUCAUCAAAAAUUGAAUUCUUUGGGUUCUUUGAUAUGCUGAAUCUAACCAUGUAUUUAGAUUUUUUAUUUGUGGACCCGCUAUCAAAUUGGUUCAUAUUGAGGUCAAAAGGGUCCAAAAUUAAACUUUGUUUGAUUUCAUCAAAAAUUGAAUUAUUGGGGUUCUUUGAUAUGCCAAAUCUAACCGUGUAUUUAGAUUUUUAAUUUUGGGUCCCGUUUUUAAAUUGGUCUACAUUAAGGUCCAAAGGGUCCAAAAUUAAACUUAGUUUGAUUUUAACAAAAAUUGAAUUCUUGGGGUUCUUUGAUAUGCUGAAUCUAAACAUGUGUUUAGAUUUUUGAUUAUGGGCCCAGUUUUCAAGUUUGUCCAAGUUGGGGUCCAAAAUUAAACUUUGUUUGAUUUCAACAAAAAUUGAAUAUAUGGGGUUCUUUGAUAUGCUGAAUCUAAACAUGUAUUUAGAUUUUAGAUUUUUGGCCCAGUUUUCAAGUUGGUCCAAAUUGGGGUCCAAAAUUAAACUUUGUUUGAUUUCAACAAAAAUUGAAUAUAUGGGGUUCUUUGAUAUGCUGAAUCUUACCAUGUAUUUAGAUUUUUUAUUUGUGGGCCCGCUAUCAAAUUGGUUCAUAUUGAGGUCAAAAGGGUCCAAAAUUAAACUUUGUUUGAUUUCAUCAAAAAUUGAAUUAUUGGGGUUCUUUGAUAUGCCAAAUCUAACCGUGUAUUUAGAUUUUUAAUUUUGGGUCCCGUUUUUUAAAUUGGUCUAC